CUAGCGUUGUUCGGAAUUACUGGGCGUAAAGCGCACGUAGGCGGACAUUUAAGUUGGAGGUGAAAGCCUUGGGCUCAACCCAAGAAUUGCCUUUGAUACUGGAUGUCUCGAGACCGGGAGAGGUGAGUGGAAUUCCGAGUGUAGGGGUGAAAUUCGUAGAUAUUCGGAAGAACACCAGUGGCGAAGGCGGCUCACUGGCCCGGUUCUGACGCUGAGGUGCGAAAGCGUGGGGAGCAAACAGG
rnacentral:rRNA from 1 species